GCAAGGAAGAACUCCACAACAGGAAACAGGUUCUGAGUAUAUUUUUACCCAGUACUGCUGAGAGUAUCUUCACAACUGUGACUUUACACAACCUGAGUCACAUGAGCAACUAUUCCACACUCAACAUUGCAGAACAGGACUAAACAUCAAACAAGGUCUGCAGAUGUGGCUGGAACAUAUCAAAGAGAGAAACAUGCACAGAUUCAUCAGCUAGAAGCUGAGUAAGUUUAAUGGAACUUCCUUGAAGAGGCAACAUUUUAUCAACAAUUCUAGUGAAAGAAAGUUCCUUUCCUCCAGUGCUGGGCUACCUGAUGGGAAGAGGACAUCGCCUGUUUACCAGCCUGGCAACAGUGUGGAUAUCACACCAGCCUCAUCAAGCCAGCUUCAACUGAGCCGUCACCUGUGAUCUCUCCUGUGACAGGGCAGUUUCACUAUUAAAAAGAUGCACUUACAGAGACUUUUCUCACAGAGAGAGUGACCUGUAUUUUCAAACUCUGCAAAAUAUACCAACAUGGUAUAUUUUAUAUAACACAUGUUUACAAGUGACUCUCAAUGUAUCAGCAUUCACACUGCAAGGAUCACUGGCCCUCCGUCUCCACUACCUACAGAAAUGCAUCCAAAACAAUAUUUCAUCUUAAUUUUCCCACAGAAGACCCUCUCAAGUAUGUCAAGACUCUCACCCAUAUUCAGAAAGGCCCAGCAGUAACUUUUAAGUGCACUCCUGUCACAAGACCUUUGAAGGGAAAGAUUUGUGCCUUUACUUCUAAUGGGUAAUUCUCAGAUACCACAGUUAAUGACGAGCUUAGGCCACAUAAAGCAAUUAAAUUUAAUGCCCUAGGAGAAGUUAGAAGCUAUUUCUGACUGAAUGACCUCAAGAGUGUGUGCAAGUGUUCUGAUCUAUGACACAAGUGAAAUAGGAGGUAUCUGAAUGUGUUUGGUAGCCUUUUUUUUUCUCAAAGCAUAAAGUUUUUAUUCUCUGUGUUUGGUCAUAUUUGAUUCCUGGCACCAUCUGUGCCUUCCAUGUGGUAUCAGUAUGACUACAAUAAAAUAAUUAAAACUCUACAGAAAUCUCAAAAGGCAUUAAUAUGUUUGCUUGAUCAAACUAUGGAGUCUCAAAGCAAGAAGGAAGCCAAGACAAACAGGAAUAUAUUGCUUAAAUCAAGACGUAGGUAGGUACCGAACUUCCUUUCUUCAUUAUUUCUAAUCAGUUUAAGAGUAUGAUUCAUUUGUUAAACUUCUUUCUGAACAAGUGUGGAGAAAAAAGUGAAUUACCUAUUGAAUGCACAAUAGAAUAAUGAAAGGAAGC